CCCUUAUUUAUAAUAUGUGUUGUAACGUCAAUAUAAGUAAAACAAAAUUCCACACUGUUUUGCAUAAUUUACGUUGACAGUCCCCCUGAUCCAGCUAGUUUGUGUCUAUGAUUUAUAAAUCAUAUUUGGCAUCAUUUUGGAUUGUAAGUCAUUGUAAGUUGUUGCCAAAGUUUUUGCUCAAAGUUUUACAGUAAAAAAAAAUGCUUUAAAUCAUUGUAUUUUGAAAGUAUAUCUAAUACUGCACAGUUUUACCCUCUUAUGAAUAGAUGUGUUUUACCUAGAAGUAAGGCGUUUGAAACAGAUCUGUUUAGGAGUCAGAUUAUGGCCUUUAUUAAAAUUUUAAGUUGGAAUUCAAGGCAUAUCUGGCCAAAGUGUUUUUUUUUUUUAUCAACAUAGCAUUCAUCAUUCAAAAUUCAUCCUGGACAAGCAAGCAUCAUUAUUAAAUAUAUUCUCAACAAAACAGUCAUCGUUAUAAUACACAUCCUCCUC
rnacentral:lncRNA from 1 species